CAGUUAGAACAGCCAAAGUGGAGGACUAACAAAAGCUGAAGAGAUAAUUCAACAAGUUCUGCACGGAAUAAAUUCACUAUGCUGUCACAGAGGAUAAUCAGGACAGCAAAGUGUUCUGGCAGCCAAGUGAAGACUGUUUUUAAGGAUAGAGAGAACAACUCUGGAAAAUGCUGCCAACAUCUCAAGGAAGAUUUCCAGAAGCUGUGUGGAAUGAGCACAGGGAUUACUCGGAGAAGCAAACGCAAAAAUCCAUCUUCUUCCCAGGCAGGAAGAAAUCCGAUGUUUUACGCCGGGUGCUGUAAAACAGGCCAUUGUCUUUCUGUAUUUUAUCUGUCUCAUGAAAGGUAUUUCUCACAUAAAAUUAUUACUUAUGUUAACCUACAGUGGGAGAAUUCUUCUAACUCAAAGUAAAUAAACAGUUAUUGAUGAUCUGUUUUCAUUUAGCAUAUGCUAAACAUGAGCAUAUAUUGCCCAUACGAAUAUGGUGCCAGUAUUUAGGAGAGCACAGGUUGUGCUCCUGACAUCAAAAAGUUUAAGUACCUCUGACUUUUGCCCCUUGCUGGAAGAUGAAGGCUCUCCCAGGGAGAGGCUGAAGGGCCAGGCAGAUGAUACCGAGGCCUGCAGAGGCUCUUCAGACUGUGACCCACAAGCAUGGUCACCUCCCAGGGCAGUGGCUGGAACCUGUGUAGGAACUGUCUCAAAAAGUUCCACCUGCCCUCCGCAGCCCUCCUAGCCUGGAGCAGCACGAAGAACGUAGUGAUUAUUCUGAAAAUGUGAGCAAUAAAUGAGUCUCUAUCAGUAAGUAGUGUAUCUUUCCAGACUCUAUGAAGUCUUCGAAGUUUCUUUUCUUUGAGCAUUAACACAAUAUAUAUCCCAAUAGAAAAUGUAGAGAAUACUGAAAAGUCUUUAAAACAUGAAUUU